rnacentral:tRNA from 2 species
GCGCCCGUAGCUCAAUUGGAUAGAGUGGCAGACUACGAAUCUGUAGGUUAGGGGUUCGACUCCCUUCGGGCGCA